GGUUGACAGGAAUGUCAUCCCCACCUCUGCUACUGAAGGAAACACCUGUUUUAUCUACCUGACUUACAGAGUCACAAGAUGGUGUGUGUGACCCUCCAUUGCUGACGGUACUGGGUAGCUGGAGUGCACCGAGUGAGUUUACAGAUAUGGAUUUGGCA